rnacentral:lncRNA from 1 species
AUGUCUGGCAGGGUCCCGCCAGCAGCCUCCGGCAGCGGAUGGCAGGCCCCAGGGCUCGGCGGGACAGUGGUCAGCUCAGGGAGGUCCCUCUCCUCCUCGGUGGGGUUGGGGGGCUCACUCCAGGGGGAUGCUGCAGCAGGGGGGUCAGCUGGAGCACCACCCAUGGGUGGGCUGGGGUCCAAGAGAGGGACGCUUCUGUUCAGGAAGACAAGAGGAGACCCCAGAGUUCCUCCAGCUCCAGCCAAAGCAAGCCCUUCCCCUGCCCCGACCCACAUGUCCAGGACUCCCCCACCACCUCUCCUGGGAUGUCACACAAGGGGAUGGCACCUCUGGGAGGUCUCCCCAAAGCCCCUUCACAAAUGCUGGGGCAGAAUCUGGGGUCUGGGAGGGCAAGAAGGCUGCCAGACUCACAGGGGACUCAAGCCAACUCUCUCCCUUGGGGCAGAAAAAGGGGACAGACCCCCCAGGAGGGUCCUCAACCUCAGGCAGUGGCCAAGAGGGCACUGGGCAACUAAGAGGCCCCAAGGAGGAGGAGGAUCAGGGCCAGCAGGGCGCGGGAUGGCACGGGCAGCAGCCUGGGGGCUCCCCAUGGCCCCACGCAAGGCAACCAGGCUGGGCCCUCCCCAGGCCCCGUGGGGCUUCCGCUUCCCUCCUCCUGGGAUCCUUAUUUUCAGGCAGCUUGAGGGAAUUUAUCAUUUUGGGAAUCCCCAGCUCUCUAAGUUUGACUGAAAUCAGGGUUCCCACACCCUGGCAAAGCAAUAGGGCAUGGGGCUGAUUCUGCUGCUUUUUUGGGGGAUGAGGGAGCACCAGCACCCCCAGAUUUGGUACACAGCUCCCCACAUCAGAGGGAGACGGGCACAAGAAGCCCCAAAGGCAUCAUCCCCUCCGAGAUCAGCUCAAGCGGUAGAUCCUGCUGGGACGAGUUGAACCCCAGUCCCUCAAAAACCUCCUGCUCCAGCUGAGGGCUGGAGGCUGCAGGGGAAGUGUGGCGGCUGGGGAGGGGGGACUCUGGCAACCGGGGUCCAGAGCAGCAGCUCCCCCAGCCAUGCGUGAGCCACGGCAGGACGCCAGCACGAGGCCCAUGGCGUUGGAGGUCCCUGCCACAGGACGGCGCAGGCACCCGAGGGGGAUGGAUCCCUCCUGGGGGUCCCAC